rnacentral:rRNA from 1 species
UACGUAGGGGGCAAGCGUUGUCCGGAUUUAUUGGGCGUAAAGAGCGUGUAGGCGGCCAGGUAGGUCUGCUGUGAAAACUCGAGGCUUAACCUCGAGCUGUCGGCGGAAACCAUCUGGCUAGAGUUCGGAAGAGGAGAAUGGAAUUCCCGGUGUAGCGGUGAAAUGCGCAGAUAUCGGGAAGAACACCGGUGGCGAAGGCGGCAUUCUGGACCGAUAUUGACGCUGAGGAGCGAAAGCCAGGGGAGCAAACGGG